GACGAACGCUGGCGGCGUGCCUAACACAUGCAAGUCGAACGGGGUCCAUGAGAGCUUGCUCUCGGAAGACCUAGUGGCGAACGGGUGAGUAACACGUGAGAAAUCCGCCUCGGAGUGGGGAAUAACUCGGGGAAACCCGAGCUAAUACCGCAUACAUUCAGAUGAUCGCAUGGUCGACUGAAGAAAGAAUUUCGCUCUGAGAGGGGCUCGCGGCCUAGCAGCUGGUUGGUGUGGUAACGGCCCACCAAGGCACCGACGGGUAGCUGGAUUGAGAGAUCGAUCAGCGACACUGGAACGGAGACACGGUCCAGACUCCUACGGGAGGCAGCAGUGGGGAAUCUUGCGCAAUGGGCGAAAGCCUGACGCAGCAACGCCGCGUGCGGGAUGACGGCCUUCGUGGUUGUAAACCGCUUUCAGCAGGGACGAAAAUGACGGUACCUGCAGAAGAAGCCCCGGCUAACUACGUGCCAGCAGCCGCCGUAAAAC
rnacentral:rRNA from 1 species